rnacentral:rRNA from 1 species
AUGAAUUCGACGAUGACGACGACGUUGUUCGGGGGCGUGGACGGGGUCCUAGGCCUCGUAAUGGUGUGGUUUUCGAUCUUGUUCGUUGCAGCGGCGUUCGUGCUAGCUUUAAUUACAAUAAUAUGCCACUGCGGCGGAGAGCGAGCAGCACGAGACAGCGCGGCAGAGGAGAACGCGGCCGCCGGAGACUUGGCGAACGCGCAGGCGGCGUAUGAGCUGGCACUGGCGGCUUAUCAGCUGUUCCGAGGACGAUCAGCGGAACAGAACGCGGCCGCGGAAAGUUUGGCCGUCCUGCGGACGGGAUAUGAACUGGCGCGGGCGGCGCACGGACUAUGCCGAGGAGGACCAACGGCGGAAGAGAUCGCAGCCGCGGAGCGUUUGGCCGCGUUGCUGGAGGCGUUUGAAGGGUUGAUGAGGCUGGCGGCGCCGGCGCCGGUCGUGGAGCUGGGAUGCUCCCCGUACUCGGCGGAGGGCGGGCGGGCGUCGGAGGAGCUGGUGUGCGCGAUCUGCCAGGAUGAGUUCCUGCAGGGACAGAUGUGCAGCGAGGUGCCGGCGUGCCGGCACUUGUUCCACCGGGACUGCAUCGAGGUGUGGAGGAAGAGCAAGACCACCUGCCCGCUGUGCAGGCGGAGUACCGUGGCCGGAUCGGAACCAGUAUCAGCUGCUGAUGACAUGGUUUAG